rnacentral:rRNA from 1 species
CCUACGGGAGGCAGCAGUGAGGAAUAUUGGUCAAUGGGCGAGAGCCUGAACCAGCCAAGUCGCGUGAGGGAGUACUGCCCUAUGGGUUGUAAACCUCUUUUGUCGGGGAGCAAAAGCCGGACGUGUCCGGCUGUGAGAGUACCCGAAGAAAAAGCAUCGGCUAACUCCGUGCCAGCAGCCGCGGUAAUACGGAGGAUGCGAGCGUUAUCCGGAUUUAUUGGGUUUAAAGGGUGCGCAGGCGGAUUUUUAAGUCAGCGGUAAAAUCGUGGGGCUCAACCCCAUCCAGCCGUUGAAACUGGGGAUCUAGAGUGUGCGAGAGGUAUGCGGAAGGCGUGGUGUAGCGGUGAAAUGCAUAGAUAUCACGCAGAACCCCGAUUGCGAAGGCAGCAUACCGGUGCACAACUGACGCUCAGGCACGAAAGCGUGGGUAUCGAACAGGAUUAGAUACCCGAGUAGUC